AAGUCGUAACAAGGUUUCCGUAGGUGAACCUGCGGAAGGAUCAUUACCGAGUAAGGGUCUUCCAGGCCCGACCUCCAACCCUUUGUUUAACCAACCACGUUGCUUUGGCGGGCCCGCCCUCUGGGGCCGCCGGGGGCUCUCCUGCCCCUGGCCCGUGCCCGCCGGUAGCCAUAUUAAAUUCUUCAUAACUGUGCCGUCUGAGUAUAGAUAUAAAUCGUUUAAAAACUUUCAACAACGGAUCUCUUGGUUCUG
rnacentral:misc_RNA from 1 species